rnacentral:lncRNA from 1 species
UGGACCCGAAGGUCUGUGGUGAACUACUCGCGCAUCAUCGGAGGGGCAAUGGUGUUGAUGAACAAGCCCUCCAACUCUGGAUCCCUCUCCGGCAAAGUACCGGAACGGCCUCUAGAUGGGAUCUCGCGGAAGCAGAGGCUUGCGGCGGCGAAAAAGUAAUUGCGGCUCUCUUUUCUUCCGUGGGACGAUUUAUCGGAAUUUAUAGGCGGAAGAAGUAGGUCACCGAAGGCUUGUGGGGCCCACGAGCCCUCAUGGCGUGGCUAGGGGGCCCGCGACUUGGCGGCUCGUGGAGUCCCACGCGCUCCGCUGCCUUGGUUCUCAAGUCUGGUAUUCGUCUUCUAUUCGGAAAAAAAUCGUGGCAAAAGUUUUAUUCCGUUUGGACUCCGUUUGAUAUUCCUAUCUGCAAGAGGUCAAAAACAAAGAAAAAACAGGAAGUGGCACUGGGCACUAAGUUAAUAGAUUAGUCCCAAAAAAGAUAUAAAACAGCAUAUAAAUGCAUAUGAGACAUCCAAAGUUGAUACUAAAACAGCAUGGAACACUCAAAAAUUAUAGAUACGUUAGAGACGUAUCACAGCCCGUCCCGCUAUAUCAUCACGAUCCGUCACGCGGUCCCAUCA